GACGAACGCUGGCGGCGUGCUUAACACAUGCAAGUCGUACGGUAAGGCCCUUUCGGGGGUACACGAGUGGCGAACGGGUGAGUAACACGUGAGUAACCUGCCCACAACUUUGGGAUAACGCUAGGAAACUGGUGCUAAUACUGGAUAUGUGCCCCUGCUGCAUGGUGGGGGUUGGAAAGCUCCGGCGGUUGUGGAUGGACUCGCGGCCUAUCAGCUUGUUGGUGGGGUAGUGGCCUACCAAGGCGGCGACGGGUAGCCGGCCUGAGAGGGUGACCGGCCACAUUGGGACUGGGAUACGGCCCAGACUCCUACGGGAGGCAGCAGUGGGGAAUAUUGCACAAUGGGCGCAAGCCUGAUGCAGCAACGCCGCGUGCGGGAUGACGGCCCUCGGGUUGUAAACCGCUUUCAGCAGGGACGAAGCUUUUUGUGACGGUACCUGCAGAAGAAGCACCGGCUAACUACGUG
rnacentral:rRNA from 1 species